GGGGAUCAGCCCUCAGGCUGUGGUGCUAGCAUGGUGAGCACUAGAGCCGCCCCCCACCUCUGUCUGCUACACCGCAAUUCACACGGCCUUUUCACCCAAAGAUGAUGAAGCUCACAGUCCGCCAAUAGCUGGCUCUGCAGUAGACGGGAGAACUGCAUUGAUCUGAUUUGGGUCUAUCUUGCUGCAACGGGUGCCAUUUCCAAUGCUGCUGACCAGUAGGUAACCACCAAGAAGAGAAGGGAAAGGCGAAGAACAGAGCCCAAGGCCACACUUGUAAGCACCUACAGCUCUCAAUGCCUGUCAGUCAAGGGAGGCAGCAGAUGGGGACCUUGGUCACCAACAGCAAAGCCCAGCAGAGCCUCACGAGGCGUGGACCACUAACCGCCAGACACAGAGGGCCGUGACAACUCUGAGGUCCUGCGUAGACAAGUAACAGACUCCAGAGUUCAUCCUGUUGUCUCUUGAGUACACAGCUUUAUGGCAUUCUUCUGGAUUUGAAGAAAUUCUACUACCUUCCACAUCACAACCACUAAGUUAACACAUUGCUAUGGUCAUUCUUAACUUGAUAGGACUUAGAAU